UACGGAGGGGGCUAGCGUUAUUCGGAAUUACUGGGCGUAAAGCGCACGUAGGCGGCUUUGUAAGUCAGAGGUGAAAGCCUGGAGCUCAACUCCAGAACUGCCUUUGAGACUGCAUCGCUUGAAUCCAGGAGAGGUGAGUGGAAUUCCGAAGUGUAGAGGUGAAAUUCGUAGAUAUUCGGAAGAACACCAGUGGCGAAGGCGACUCACUGGACAUGUAUUGACGCUGAGGUGCGAAAGCAUGGGGAGCGAACAGG
rnacentral:rRNA from 1 species